rnacentral:rRNA from 1 species
CUCGCGUAUAACGCAAUAAAUACAACUUUCAGCAACGGAUCUCUUGGCUCUCGCAUCGAUGAAGAACGCAGCGAAAUGCGAUAAGUAAUGUGAAUUGCAGAAUUCAGUGAAUCAUCGAAUCUUUGAACGCACCUUGCGCUCCUUGGUAUUCCGAGGAGCAUGCCUGUUUGAGUGUCAUGGUAUUCUCAACUCUACAAAGCUUUUGCAAUGAAGAGUUGGAUUUGGAGGCUUGUGUUGGCUCGAAAGAGUUGACUCCUCUGAAACGCAUUAGUGUGAGCCUUUACGGAUCGCCUCCAGUGUGAUAAUGUCUACGCUGUGGUGUUGAAGUAUUUCUAGUGUUCAUGCUUCUAAUCGUCCUCUUGGGACAAUCAUUUGACAAUCUGACCUCAAAUCAGGUAGGACUACCCGCUGAACUUAAGCAUAUCAAUAAGCGGAGGAAAAGAAACUAACAAGGAUUCCCCUAGUAACUGCGAGUGAAGCGGGAAAAGCUCAAAUUUAAAAUCUGGCAGUCUUUGGCUGUCCGAGUUGUAAUCUGGAGAAGCGUCUUCCGUGC